rnacentral:rRNA from 1 species
UGCCAGCAUCCGCGGUACUACUGAUUUUGCAAGCGUUAAUCGGAAUUACUGGGCGUAAAGCGCGCGUAGGUGGUCUGUUAAGUCGGAUGUGAAAGCCCCGGGCUCAACCUGGGAACUGCAUCCGAUACUGGCAUACUAGAGUGCGGGAGAGGGAGGUAGAAUUCCACGUGUAGCGGUGAAAUGCGUAGAUAUGUGGAGGAAUACCAGUGGCGAAGGCGGCCUCCUGGCUCGACACUGACACUGAGGUGCGAAAGCGUGGGGAGCAAACAGGAUUAGAUA